rnacentral:rRNA from 1 species
UACGGGGGGGGUAAGCGUUGUUCGGAAUUACUGGGCGUAAAGGGCUCGUAGGCGGCCAACUAAGUCGGACGUGAAAUCCCUCAGCUUAACUGGGGAACUGCGUCCGAUGCUGGAUGGCUUGGAUUUGGGAGAGGGAUGCGGAAUUCCAGGUGUAGCGGUGAAAUGCGUAGAUAUCUGGAGGAACACCGGUGGCGAAGGCGGCAUCCUGGACCAAUAUUGACGCUGAGGAGCGAAAGCCAGGGGAGCAAACGGG